rnacentral:rRNA from 1 species
GACGGAGGAUGCAAGCGUUAUCCGGAAUUAUUGGGCGUAAAGCGUCCGCAGGUGGCUGUUCAAGUCUGCUGUCAAAGCGCAGAGCUUAACUCUGUACAGGCGGUGGAAAUUGAAGAGCUAGAGUAUGGUAGGGGUAGAGGGAAUUCCCGGUGUAGCGGUGAAAUGCGUAGAUAUCGGGAAGAACACCAGUGGCGAAAGCGCUCUACUGGGCCAUAACUGACACUGAGGGACGAAAGCUAGGGGAGCGAAAGGG